AAGGAGUUGAGAAGGGAGGAGGAAAUGAGAACAAUGGGUUUUAUUGCCAGUGAAAGGAAUGAGACACAAUUACAUCUUGAAGGGGAUGUUUGAAUGAAGUGGAGGCUUUUUAAGGCUGGGGGAAUUCUAGUCUAUUUGAUAAAGGGACAAAGAUCAUAGAGUAAGGAUGAAAGUAGAUUAUGGAGAAAGAAGGUGGUGUAUCACACAAGGAAAAUUUGGGAGGAAUCGGGGUUAAGCGCACAAGUAAUAACAUUUUGUAAUCCUUUGACUUAAAUGGUGUCUCUGUUUUAGGCUUUUGAAACACAUGUGAUCUAUAAAAGUAAGCUCUAUUAUACUCCCGUGUGUGCCAUGUUUGGUCAUGCAUCAUGUGAAUUCCCCUUGACCUGCACAGUGUUUAGGACAACAAGCUCACGGAAGAUGGAGGAGGAGCCUGUUGCUAAUCUGCCAUCUCGGGACCACAAAGAAUCUCGUGCCCUGAGAAUGCAGGCUAGUGAAUAUGGCCCCAUCCAUUGGAGUCGAGAACUCUGUGGCAUCCUGGGGAGAUCAGGAAAAAUGUUCUCUUCAGAACAAAAGACUGACUCUUGCCCAAGGAAUCGCCUUUUGGGUCAUUUGGCAUAUGAUACUCCCUUGUCCUGCAUAGUGUUAAGGUAAGAAUUAUACCUGUUUGUCUCUGUUAAUGUUCUCCUUAUUGUCAAGUUCAUCUCCUCACACUACUAAAAAUUAUCUCGACUAAUUAUUUCUCUCUCUUAUCAAUGUUUUGCCAUUAAUCAUUGUGUAAGUGUAGGACUGCCACUGAAGAGACAAGAUGAUAGCACAGGGAAGUCCUGGAAUUGGAGG
rnacentral:lncRNA from 1 species